AAUUACUUUAAGCAAGAGAUGGAAGAGAGGGUUCUUGUAGGACGGACACACGUAGCUCUCUCUUGCUUCCAGUGAAUCUUCUUCGGCCAGCAUCAGACGAAUCGUCUCCUCUCUUCCUCACAUUUGAUUGAUAAUGCUCAGAAGUCGAGGUUGAAGCAUGGAGGCCCUUUGUGUUAUUGUAGGUUUCAAUUGAAUCAAUGCUCUCUCUGAUGCUUUCCUUGGAUCAAUAGAGAGGAGGAGGGAAGGAGAAUGGAAUCGGAAGCCCAGUGGACCAGUGGCGUUAACAGCGGAGGAAGAAGCCGUUCUGAGGGAAGGAAUCCGUUUGGAGCUUUUACAGUGGACUGCCAUGAAAGCUGCCGUCGAUAACGGUUGGGACGGCAUAGAUUCAUAUUAUUCACCUUUCUUUCUGGAUUUCUUAAUUCACGACCAAAGAUGGUGGCUUUCUGAUUGUUUCAUCAUGCAAUGCUUCUUGUAGAUGGGGUUUGAUGCUUUCUGAUUGUAUUUUUUUACAAUAUUGGUUUCGUGUUUUUGCUCCGUGAAAGCAGAAUCAUGAAAGACGUGAUUGAGACUUGAGAGAGAGCAGAGGCUGCAGAAGAACAAGAGCAAGAAGGUUAGAGCGGCUUAUGCUCCCCACAUUGAGCUUUUUGCCUGCUGACAAAAUGGCGGUUAUUGUGAUGCAUAAGAUGAUGGGUUUGGUUAUGUCCGGACAUGAGGAUGGGUGUAUCCAAGUUGUUCAAGCUGCUGUUAGUAUCGGCAUAGCAAUAGAGUAUGAGGUUCCCAUACCAGAGAAACCUGUGUCUGAGGAUCCAGAAGAGAUCCAAUUAUGGAAAUGGAGUGUUAGAAAGGCGAAAAAGAUUAACAGAGAGAGAGAGAGAGACGUUCCCUAAGAUGUGAUGUUGAGCUCAAGCUUUCUGUGGCUAGAAAAAUGAAAGACGAGGAAGGAUUCUACUACCCUCACAAUCCCGACUUCAGGAGCCGUGCAUACCCAAUGCACCCUCAUCUGAACCAUCUGAGUUCCGAUCUUCGCCGUGGAACCCUGGAGUUUGCUGAAGGACGCCCGCUUGGAAUCAUACCUUGUUGUUGCUGCUUACGAUGUAAGAAUAAUGUUCUUUGCCGUAUGUCAAGCUUUCUUUUCUGGUUGAUAUUGUGCUUUGAACACUCUUGUACUCUCUUUAAUCAUCAUUCACUCUUUUUAUUCACAA